UCUGUUUCAUCCUCGUUCGAUUUCGUCAUCCUCCUUUCGAACCUCUCCUGAGAAAUCUCUUCUGCACAAAUUGUAAUGCGAGAGAGCUUAUCUUAGUGUAUUCUUUUGUAUGUGUACUGUUCAUUCAAAUGUGUGCUGUAUUGAUUGUUGUGGAAUCUAGAUAGGAAAGUUAAUCUCUUUCUUUAGAAUUGAUGUAUGUUUUAAGUGAUUCUUCUAUAUUUGGGAUAAAAUGCCCCGGCGGGGAUAAAAUGCCCCCGCCUACAUUUUUCUGGUUAUUUGCAUUUAGAUGCAAGAGGUUGCUGGUGAGCGUGGAGGCUAUCUUCAUGGACGUGGCGCUUUGGACAGCGACGGCUUACUUUAUCUAAAAGAGCAGAUGGAAGCAGAGGAUGAUGCAGAACGCCUUCUUAGACGAACUGAGAAACGUGCUUUUGCUGCCUUCAAAAUAUCCUUUCUUGCAGCAAGAUUUACUGAAAAAGGUCGUAGAGGUUAAACCAAAACGUCCCAAAAUCUCAACACCGUCAACUCCCAGCUUAUCACCUCCCAUUAGAAGCGACAGAGGCUCAACAGAUGCUAAGGUUAACACAGUGUUGAAGAAACAGGACAGACCCAAGGAGCAACCUGGAGCUGACCCAAAUGACGGCAAAGGAACUGAAAGCAAGGGGCAAGUGAAUAUACAUAUCAUUACAAAGAGAUAGAUCUACAAAAGUGAAGAUUGUUGGGUUGGUUAUUGACAUUGAGGAGGAUCUUUCUCCCGUCUGUUCAACUGGAUCUUGAAUCCAUUCACUAGACGAGCAGAAGGGAAGAAGGAGAUACGAUCUUCCUCAAGUUGUGUCCACCUGUAUGUAGUGAUGAAGAAAUGCAGAAAGAGAGCUAUCUGAAGGCGAGCCAGCUCUGCUCCUGGACAAAACCGAGUUCCUCCACCAAAUGGGCUAUAACAGUUUAAGAGAACCUGAGUUUCAGGGUCAAGCCACCGCCAUGGAUUGAAGGAAAGACUUUCCUUGUAAUAGCUCUCGUCUAAGUGC